AUAUUCUGUGAGCAGGAAAGCAGGGGAUCGCAAGACCUUGCGCUGAUUGAGCGGCCGAUAUCAGAUUAGCUUGUUGGUGAGGUAAAAGCUCACCAAGGCGACGAUCUGUAGCGGGUCUGAGAGGAUGAUCCGCCACACUGGAACUGAGACACGGUCCAGACUCCUACGGGAGGCAGCAGUGGGGAAUUUUGGACAAUGGGGGCAACCCUGAUCCAGCCAUGCCGCGUGAGUGAAGAAGGCCUUCGGGUUGUAAAGCUCUUUCAGCCGGGAAGAAAACGCAUGGGUUAAUACCCUGUGUGGAUGACGGUACCGGAAUAAGAAGCACCGGCUAACUACGUGCCAGCAGCCGCGGUAAUACGUAGGGUGCGAGCGUUAAUCGGAAUUACUGGGCGUAAAGCGUGCGCAGGCGGUUUUGUAAGACAGGCGUGAAAUCCCCGGGCUUAACCUGGGAACUGCGUUUGUGACUGCAAGGCUAGAGUACGGCAGAGGGGGGUGGAAUUCCACGUGUAGCAGUGAAAUGCGUAGAGAUGUGGAGGAACACCAAUGGCGAAGGCAGCCCCCUGGGUCGAUACUGACGCUCAUGCACGAAAGCGUGGGUAGCAAACAGGAUUAGAUACCCUGGUAGUCCACGCCCUAAACGAUGUCAACUAGGUGUUGGGAGGGUAAAACCUUUUAGUACCGGAGCUAACGCGUGAAGUUGACCGCCUGGGGAGUACGGCCGCAAGGUUAAAACUCAAAGGAAUUGACGGGGACCCGCACAAGCGGUGGAUGAUGUGGAUUAAUUCGAUGCAACGCGAAAAACCUUACCUACCCUUGACAUGCCAAGAACUUUCCAGAGAUGGAUUGGUGCCCGAAAGGGAACUUGGACACAGGUGCUGCAUGGCUGUCGUCAGCUCGUGUCGUGAGAUGUUGGGUUAAGUCCCGCAACGAGCGCAACCCUUGUCGUUAAUUGCCAUCAUUUAGUUGGGCACUUUAACGAGACUGCCGGUGACGAACCGGAGGAAGGUGGGGAUGACGUCAAGUCCUCAUGGCCCUUAUGGGUAGGGCUUCACACGUCAUACAAUGGUCGGUACAAAGGGUCGCCAAGCCGCGAGGUGGAGCCAAUCCCAGAAAGCCGAUCGUAGUCCGGAUCGCAGUCUGCAACUCGACUGCGUGAAGUCGGAAUCGCUAGUAAUCGUGGAUCAGAAUGUCACGGUGAAUACGUUCCCGGGUCUUGUACACACCGCCCGUCACACCAUGGGAGCGGGUUCCGCCAGAAGUAGGUAGCCUAACCGCAAGGAGGGCGCUUACCACGGCGGGGUUCGUGACUGGGGUGAAGUCGUAACAAGGUA
rnacentral:rRNA from 1 species